rnacentral:rRNA from 1 species
AUUGAACGCUGGCGGCAGGCCUAACACAUGCAAGUCGAGCGGAUGAGUGGAGCUUGCUCCAUGAUUCAGCGGCGGACGGGUGAGUAAUGCCUAGGAAUCUGCCUGGUAGUGGGGGACAACGUUUCGAAAGGAACGCUAAUACCGCAUACGUCCUACGGGAGAAAGUGGGGGAUCUUCGGACCUCACGCUAUCAGAUGAGCCUAGGUCGGAUUAGCUAGUUGGUGAGGUAAAGGCUCACCAAGGCGACGAUCCGUAACUGGUCUGAGAGGAUGAUCAGGCACACUGGAACUGAAACACUGUCCAGACUCAUACGGGAGGCAGCAGUGGGGAAUAUUGAACAAUGGGCGAAAGCCUGAUCCAGCCAUGCCGCGUGUGUGAAGAAGGUCUUCGGAUUGUAAAGCACUUUAAGUUGGGAGGAAGGGCAGUAAGUUAAUACCUUGCAGUUUUGACGUUACCAACAGAAUAAGCACCGGCUAACUUCGUGCCAGCCGCCGCGGUAAUAC